CAGAGCUGUGCCCACCGGCCCACCACACCUGGGAAGCAGCGCAGGCCCCGAAGGCCCCCAGGAUGACGUCCACCACCCGCUGCGACGUAAGCACGUUGCCGCCCACCACCGCCGCCUCUGGGGAGGGGUCCAGGAUGGAGCCCUUAGGGAUCACAACAUGCACCGGUGUCAGGCAGCCCUGUGGGGAGAGGGGCCAGCGCUCAAGAAGAGUUGGGAGCACACCCUUGCACACCUGGUUGAGUGGGAUGUCGCGGCCGACCAGACAGCGAAGGCAGUAGAUGAGCGCAGACAGCGUGAUGGCCCGAGGCGCGUUGAGGUUGCCGAACACCUCGGGCCCCGUGCCGCUGAAAUCAAACACCGCGCUACCCUGCCCGCCAGAGAGGAGGGGAGAAGUCAGCAGCCGGGUGGCCACGGCCCUGAUGCCUGGGGAGGUCCUUCCUCCCAAGACUGACCUCACUCACGUCGAUCUGCACUCGGAGUCGGAUGGGAGAACCGUCGUCCAUGUGGUCCUCUGCAGACACCUCCAGGGGCAGGCCCUGGGCCUGCCGGGAGGUUCCAAAGGCCCGAAGCAUGUCUCGCACAGCUAGCUCAGCGUUCGCCUGGUGGAGAGUAUGUUCAGUAACGGCCGCGCCACCUUCCAGGUGGGCCAGGUGCCCCCCACCUCCGUCCACCUGCCUGGGGCAGGCACAGAGCUGCCGGCUUGCUCCUUCCCCCCGGCCCACCUGAAUGUGGCCCAUGUAGGCCUGUACCACAUCCAGGCCGUACUGCCCAAUGAGCUCGCCCACCAGCUGGAUGCCCUUCUGGUUGGCUGCCACCUGGGCACGCAGAUCUGACAGGUUGUCGUGCAGGUUCCGUGUUCCGCUGCAGCCUGGAAUGUUGCCUGGUGCCCGCAGGGCUUCAGUUACCGCUGAAUGGAUGGGAUCGCCACUGAGCCACUCAAAGUCCCAGGGCCACCUGGUGCCCUGCUCCACACCUGCUGUACUUCUCUGCUGGGGCACUUGCGGGGACCACAUGUUGGCCCAUCACUGGCUCCCCACUACCCUGCUGGCUCUUCCAGGUCCCUGAAAAUCCCCAGCUUCCCCCCAUCAGCUACUGAACCUUCUUCCCACACCACAAUGCCCCAGGGCACCCUAGGAUGGGACAAGCAGCUUUGACCGUGACCAUGAUCUCACGUGGGCUGGAGGUACCCGGGGCAGGGGGCAGGGCAGGGGGAAGGUUCCCUCAGCAAACUCUCCUCCCUCCUUCAUUUCUCCUGCCCUACCUCCCCACCACCUGGCUCACACUCUCCAGCCUUUUCUGGGCACCCCUCCCCUCUCCCAGCAGGAAAAACCACUUCCCUUAACCCUCCCACACUCACACUGCCCUCAGCCCUGGGGCCCCGAACUCACCGCCACAGCCAGUCGUUUUGAAAGAGCGCCAGCAUGGCUGCCUGUGCGCCCCGCCACCGCCCCCAAAAGAUCUGGACAAGGCGUCCACCUCGGGCAGCAGUACGGGUUCUGGCCCCGUGGACCACUCCCUGCUUCGGGCAAGCUCCCCUCCUGAGUCUGGAUCAGGGUCCUCUCAGGCUCCCUGGCCACUGGGUCCUCUGCCAGACAUGCCUGCACAGGUCCCUCGGUGACCCCUACCCUCUGCCCCCACCCCAUACUGACCAAGGGAGCAGCCAGGCCUCAGUCACUCUGUUCGUGUUCUCAGCACCCACAACAGCCCAUGGCUCUGUUACCCCACCUUCCACCCUGCCCACAUCACCUGUUCUCACUCUGGGAUGCCCCGUGGGCUCUCACACCAGCUGUCCCUGACCCCCAGGUGCCACUGCAGUCUCUGUCCCACCUUCCUGGCAACUGCAGUGCCACGACCUCCAUCCUACAGCUGUCCAAACUUGAUUCCCUCCCCGCUGCCCGAGUCCCACCACUUACCAACCCUGACCUCCAAAACCCCCUCACCGUUGCCUCCCAGCUUGAGGCUCAGCAUCUUCGAGGGCGAGAGCGGCUGCCCCCCCCACGCCCCCUGCCUGGCCUGCAGGAGCCUCCACGCGCCCUGCACACAGGCAGGGGCUUGCCCGGUGCACAGGCAGCUCAGGCCCAGCUGAAGCCCUUCACGGCUGCCAAGUGACUGACCCAGGCCCCGAGAGCCUGCAGCCCCUGGCCGCUGGUGCCGCCGUGUCUCUGCAGUCCCCAGACCCAGUGCAAACCCAGUGCAAAUCAUAAACGCCACCAGCAGCCGCCCACCUUAAAAUAGGCUCCUCCCGCUCCUGCACCCAAUCCCUUGGGUGUCCUGGCCAGCUCCCCACCCCCAAACCUUCCAGGCCUCCUUGGACCCAGGCAGAACUCAGCUCAGCUCGUCUGAUCACCUCUGAGAGGCGAUCUGCAACCACCCUGGGGGGUCACCGACCAGCUCCCUCAGCCUGGAGGCUGGCCUAGGCCAGGGGGGAGGGGGGCAGCGGGGGCUGCAUCCCCGUGUCCGGCCCAGCCUGGCUGCACGAAGCGGCCAGGUGUUUCAGCCCCACCCCAGAUCCGUUCCCACUCACCCUCCUCCUGGAAGACACCCGCCUGGACGAGUCUGAAGGACAGAAAGAUGGCGCCCUCCUGCUGCAGGGUGGUGGAGUGGGGGGGCAUGGAGCCCGGUGUGAUGCCCCCAAUGUCCGCGUGGUGCCCACGGCUGGCCACGUAGAACACAGGCCGCGUCUGACCCGGCCAAAACACCUAGGGGUGAGGGCAACGGUCAGGGGCGCCGGCGGCCCUACCACCCGAGGUACCUGGGCAGCGACCCUCACCGGUGUGAUGACGGUCAGGUCUGGCAGGUGGCUGCCCCCCGCGCAGGGGUGGUUGCUCAGCAGAACGUCGCCGGGAUGGAGGUCAGCCCCCACGUGCUGGAUCUGAAGCCAGGAGACAGCGCAUCCCCGGGGUACGGAGAGGCAGGGCCCACCGCCUUCAAGGCCUCUGAGUCCCGGACCCAGGACCCGAAGCGGGCGAUGGUCCACCCAGACACUGCGAGGCCAUGGCCAAGCCACAUCUUACUCGUGAAGGGCACCCCCUUCCUCCCCAGCCCUGCCCAGCGCCACCAUCAGCCCUACGCCCUGCUUCGCACAUUAAGAAACUGGUGCGGGGCACGGGCUUCGGAGCCUGGGUUCGCCGUGCGGAGCCCAGACCACGUGGUGCUGGGAGGAGAAGGGCGCCCGCCCUGCCCAGGGCCUGCGCCACCGCAGGACGCCUUCCGCUUCCGCCCCUUCCCCCGGGUCACGCUUUCUCUCCGCACACCCCUGCCUGGUGCGCCGCAGGGAGCGGGGCGGGGGAGCAGGAUGGUGGAAGCCACUCACCAGCAAUGCUCAUGAAGCGAUGGGAGAAGAUGGACAGGUGGAUGGGGUCGAGCUGGGCACCCACCGUGCCGGGGGCCUCAGCCCCCACGGAGAUGCGGAUGUCCCCAGUGUCAGUCACCUCCGCCUGGCAGGCUGGCUCCACCAGGAUGGUACUGCGGGCAGGGCAGCAAAGGGGCUGCAGGAGCCAGGCCACACACCCCUCCCAAGCAGGGACCCCACGUGCCCAGGCCCAGAAGCAGCCCAACCAGGAAGGGACCCGAGAGCCCUUCAGGCUCCUGCAGCCUGGGCCCCACGGGUCACCCCAGCCCCGGCAGCCGUGGCCCCGGCCCUCAGCCCACCUGUUGCUGUCAAUGAGGAGGCAGGGCCCCUGCAGCUUGUGCCCAGCGCCCAGCUCGCCCAACAGGUACACGGGGGUCUCCUGGUAGCCCCCCUCGAAGUAGCAACGGGUCGUCUGAGGAGGGCGUCAGGUGAGCGAAGUUCCUAGGGCCGGUGCCCUCCCUGCGUCUCCCCCUCCACACCUGUCCCCGUGUCCCAGUGGGUGUGGGUGGACGGGCACAGGCAGGGCCACCAACCUUGUCUACCCGGGGAGGCCCACUCUGGGCUUUCGGGACGUACUCGAGGCGAAGGCCACUGCGGCCAGUGCCCCUCACCCGCACGUCGUCCACCACCACUGGCCGCUCAGGGAUGAUGAAGCCAAACUCCCUCAUGUACCUGCACACCCGGAGGUCCCGGAGAGCCAUCAGGGCGGGCAGCCAGGCCAGCGGACGCCAGCCAGGGCUCCCAAGACGCGGAGCUCACGUACCUCUCGACGAAGCCUGCCCCGAAGUCGCCCGCUCGGGGGCCCGAGAGCACAGCGCGGGAGCCACUGAGGGAGUCCAUGGGCGCCAGGCCACCAUCGGAGCGCAUGAACAGCACCUGCACGUCCUGUGGGCAGGCAGCACCUGUCAGCACCUGACAGAACACGGCCGCACGGGAGCAGGGGUUUCUCCCACUUUUCGCUGUCCUGCACGGCUCGGUGAGUGCAGCCUGCGGGUCCCUGAGGAGACCCCCACGGCCCUGGCCCACGCACCUCUUUCAGCAUCCCUGAACUUGAUGGUUCUGCGCCGGGGCAGGCGGGGGCUGGCGGUCACCUCGGCCAGGAGCCCGGAGCUGCAGAAACUCAGGCCGAUGCCCCGGUUCCUGAGCACCAGCUUCAGCUCCUCGUUCUCCUGGAUGAGCUGCACGAGCCGCCGCAGCUCUUGGUUCUCCUGUGCUAGCCGCUGGAUCUCCUGCCGCAGGCCCUCGUAGCCGCUGAGGAGGGACAUGCCUGGCGGCGGUGGGCGGCAGCUGCCGGCAGCUGGCGGGCUGGCCAGGGGCAGCGGACCCUGCCAUUGUGAGGUCAGCACUGCCCCUCAGCCGCAUUCCAGGGCUUCAGAGCACCUGGAGCAGGGCGAACUUAACCUCUGACCUCUGGCCCCCUGAGGGUUGAAUGGCUAGAGGAGCCCAGACCUGCCUCAGGCCUGGAGUCCCCCUAGGAAGCUCCUCCUGGAGGACAGAAGCUUCUGCAUCCUAGCCCAGGAUGGCGGUGUUGCAGGUAGAGGGCUGCGAGAUUCAGGCAUCCUUCCCCACCCAUCUGGCCACCCACUGGCCACCAGCUGCUCAUGCCAUGUUGUGGGGCUGGCUGACUGGGCACAGUCCCAGAGGCGGUCGUGGCCAGCACAGCCUCUGAAGGGGUCGGGAGAGUGGAUGUUUGAGCUGCCCUGAGGGAGGGGGCAUCUCUGGCCCAACAGCAAGGGGGAGCUGGACUGUGGAGGCGAAGGUGGGUCAGAGCUUGGGGGCGUGGGGUGAGCCAACGAGCACCUCAGGGCAAGGCUGGAGGCAAAGUGGUCCUGCUGCUGGGGUGGUAGGGAGUGUCACUGUCACAGGGAGGACGAGGCACCACAUUCAGGGCCACACCUCAGGGCACGGGCGGGGAGGGCAGGGAGCAGGGAGGCCCCAGGAGACGUUGAGGACAGCAGGUUCCUGGGGGCAGGGGGGCCGCCUCAAGGACAACUGGGUUUACACUUGAGAUCAUAUAAAGGACUUCUUUCCUUCACCCAGUCUGGCUUCCAAUGGGACGGCUCUGUGCAGUUGGCAUUAUUUUGUGUCAUUUCUUCCAUUAUGAUUAUUGUUUAUUUCACAUCGUCGUUUCCUUUUUGCGGGUCUGCUGUUUCCAGUUGUUAACCAGUAGUUUUCCUGGGAUUUGCAUGUCAUUUCCCCACUGCUCCAGGGUGACACGCUGGCAGGAAGUUCUCGCCAGUGCUGAGCAUGGGGGGACAGUCCUGAGAGCAGUUUCCGGGAGACUGGGGAGCAGCCACACUUAAUCUCGAUGGAAGUGAUGUCAAUUUUAAUGGUUUCUGUAAGUGGGAAAUAAUCCUCAUUCUAAGGGUUAUGAAGUAGAGUGUUUAUGCAGAACUAGAGAUCUUACCCCCAAACGACGACAGGCUCAGGGCAGUCAACUUCCAGCUCAGACGCUCUCUGGAGGCCAGAGGGUAGACUGUGGUAGGCAGAAUUCUAAGAAGGCCCCCAAGUUUUCCUGCCCUGGCACGUGCGCCCUGCAUAAUUCCAGUACUGUGAGUAGAAUGGCUUUUACACCCAUGAUUGUGUUAUGACACAGCUGAGGUAUAAAGGGAUAUUAUCCUGGGCAGACCUGGCUUAAUCAGGAGAUCCCAUAUAAGGACGGCUUUCUUCCUGGAGGAAGGAUGCAAAGCUCCAGAGAGAUUCACGCAAGGGAGAUUCUCCACUGCUGGGGGGCCAUGAGGCAGGACAUGUGGGCAGCCCCUAGGACCUGAUAUGUCAUAGCCAAAAUCUUGAAAGACAAAGAGAAAACUUCAAAAGCCACAAGAUAAAAAUAACUCAUCACAUAUAAGAGAAUACCGUAAGAUUUACACCUAACUUCUCAUCAGAAACAAUGGAGGCCAGGAGACAAUGGGAUGAUAAACUCAAAUUACUAAAAAACUCAAGCAAGAAUCCAAUAUUUUGGAAAAUGAUCUUUUGUAAAUUCAGGUGAAAUAAAGAAAGUCCAAAAUAAACAAAGAGAGAAUCUAUUGUUAGCAGACCUACCUUACAAGAAAUACUAAAGAAAGUUCUUCAAGCUGAAAGGAAGUCACAUGAAAUAGUCAUUCUAGUCCAGUUGCCCAAAUGCAGCCAUGUUGCACCCAGACUUGUGACCUGCAGAGCUGUGAGUUUACAAGUGGAUGUAGUUUUAAGCCACUGCAUUUGGGGCAACCUAUUCCAUAGCAGUGGAAGCUAGCACAGCCUCCUGUGUUGAAGGAAACAGAGGCGCUGAUUAUACAAGUAGCUGGGUUGCAAAGGAAAUGGCAUGUGCACUGUCCCGGGGCAGAGUCAGCCUUGAGACCUGGGAUGGGAACUUGGAGCGGAUACACUUGGAUCUUUGGCUGCCAAACUCCCACGAGCCCCUUCCUGGCAGAAGCAGCCCCUCGUUCCUCGCUGGAGGAGCGGGCAGUGGCCUCCCCUGGGGUGCAGAGGGCCGCCGACCACUGCUGCCACUGUAGGUGCACGUGCUGUUUCCCCUCAACAGGUGCGUCCAGUUCUCAGCCCUUGGACUCUGACCUGGCCUUCUGCCUUAUUUUGACUGGAAGAACGUGGUGGAAGUGACAGUGUUCCUGUGCCGAGCCGUGACCUUGAGAGGCCUGGCAGGGGCAGGAGUUCCGGGAGUGACCCUGUCACUCUGGAGACUGUCACUCUGGGCGUGCAGCAGUCAUUCGUGGAGGUCUACUUCUUGUUCUAAGGGCCGGAAGUCCAAACGGAGUCAUUUGGGCUAAAAUCAAGAUGUCAGCCAGGACAGUUCCUUCUGGAGGGUCGGGGGUGGGGGGGGGCGGGGGAGUUUGUUCCUCGCUGCGGCCAGCAGUCGGCGCUCCCCGGCUUGUGGCUGCAUCACUGCAAUCUGCCUCCAAGGCCACCUCUCCUCCUCCUCUGCUUCUGCAACCAAAUGCCCCUCUGCUUCCACCUUAAAAGGAUACUCAUGAUUACGUGUAGGGCCCACCUGGAUACUCUAGGCCACUCCCUCCUUCUCAAGACCCUUAGCUUAAUCAUACGUGCAAAGUUCCUUUUGCCAUUGAAAGUGACAUUCACAGUCUUUGGGAAUUAGGACCUGGCUAUUCUUCAGCCUGUUACAAUGGCUGGACGUGGGGCAGACUUGAAAGUGUUCCUCAACCACAACCUGAUUCAUCAGCAAAGGGCAGCACGUCACUGGCUUGGGAGCUGAAGCACAACCUGUGCCCAGUCGGUGGCUGAACCCUAAGCUAUGCUGACUCAGACGCAACUUCUGGGCAGCCAGGCUUAACUAUAAGAAGGGGGGGGGACUUCCCCGGUGGCACAGUGGUUAAGAAUCCGCCUGCCAAUGCAGGGGACACGGGUUCAAGCCCUGGUCUGGGAAGAUCCCACGUGCCGGGGGGCAACUAAGCCCAUGUGCCACAACUGCUGAGCCUGCGCUCUAGAGCCUGCGUGCCACAACUACUGAAGCCCGCGCGCCUAGAGCCCAUCCUCUGCAACAAGAGAAGCCACCGUAAUGAGAAGCCCACGCAGCGCAACCAAGAGUAGCCCCCGCUCGCCGCAACUAGAGAAAGCCCGCGCGCAGCAAUGAAGACCCAACGCAGCCAGAAAUAAAUAAAUAAAUUUAUUUAUUAAAAAAAAAAAGGAGGGGAGAGGGGGCCUGAGGAGUGACGUCAUAAGCUGCACACUGGAGGAACAGACUUCACAGAACUGCUGCAGACAAGCCACUGGACUAAUUAACAGCAACAGCAACAAGCCCAAGGAGGGGCCAGCUAAACGUGACCCAGAGUUACUACAACAGAUCACCUAAAACGCCCAGCUUUCAGCAAAACACCCUGAGACGUGCAGAGAAACAGGACAGGGUGAUGGUUGCACAGGAGAGGCACACAGCAGUCACUGCCCUUGAAGGGCCAGGUCUUGGAUUCGUAGACAGAGACAUCAAAGCUUCGCUUACACAAAGGCCCAUGAGAGGGGUGGCUGUAGUGGCAGGCGGUGGCAGGCCCUUCUGCCACUGCAAAUACCCCACCUGGGGCAGCAGAGACCCACAACCUCACUCGCACCCCUUCCACCUGGAGGGGCAGUUAUUCUGCCCCAAACCAACCCCUGUUCUGGACACGGCUUUGCCUCCCUGACAGCUCCUCUCCCAGCACCUUCACCCCAGGCUUACCAAGUGCCUUACCUCCCGCUGGAUGGGGAUGCACACCAAGGACCCAUCUGAGAGCCGAUGGCCCACGGCAAUGAGCUCAUGACCCCGGGACUCGCUGGUCUUCCCAGGUUCCCCACCAGCCUGACGGAAUGGAGACCGUCUGU